rnacentral:rRNA from 1 species
UACGGAGGGUGCAAGCGUUAUCCGGAUUUACUGGGUUUAAAGGGUGUGUAGGCGGACUUUUAAGUCAGGGGUGAAAUCCCGAGGCUCAACCUCGGAACUGCCUUUGAUACUAUUAGUCUUGAAUUAUGUUGAGGUUGGCGGAAUAUAACAUGUAGCGGUGAAAUGCAUAGAUAUGUUAUAGAACACCGAUUGCGAAGGCAGCUGGCUAAACAUAUAUUGACGCUGAGGCACGAAAGCGUGGGUAGCGAACAGGAUUAGAUACCCUGGUAGUCCACGCCCUAAACGAUGAUUACUCGUCAUUUGUGAUACACAAUAAGUGACCAAGCGAAAGCGUUAAGUAAUCCACCUGGGAAGUACGUCCGCAAGGAUGAA